rnacentral:rRNA from 1 species
GCAUAUCAAUAAGCGGAGGAAAAGAAACUAAACAAGGAUUCCCCUAGUAACGGCGAAGUGAAGUUGGGAAAAGCUCAACUUUUGAAAUCUGGUACUUUCAGUAUCCGAAUUUGUAGUCUCAAGAAGUGUUUUCUGUGCUGGUCCAUGUAUGAGUCUGUUGGAACACAGCGUCAUAGAGGGUGACAACCCCGUUCAUGACAUGGAUACCAGUGCUUUGUGAUACACUCUCGAAGAGUCGAGUUGUUUGGGAAUGCAGCUCAAAUUGGGUGGUAAAUUCCAUCUAAAGCUAAAUAUUGGCGAGAGACCGAUAGCAAACAAGUACCGUGAGGGAAAGAUGAAAAGCACUUUGGAAAGAGAGUUAACAGUACGUGAAAUUGUUGAAAGGGAAACGAUUGAAGUCAGACGUGCGUGAUGCGGUUCAGCUCUGGUUCGCCAGAGUGUACUCCGUAUCUUUGCAGGCCAACAUCGGUUUUGUUAGUCGGAUAAAGGUUUGAGAAAUGUGGCAUCUUCGGAUGUGUUAUAGUCUCAGACUGAAUACGAUUGAUGGGACCGAGGAACGCAGCGCGCCGCAAGGCAAAGGUUCCGACCUUUUCGCGCUUAGGAUGUUGGUGAAAUGGCUUUAAACGACCCGUCUUGAAACACGGACCAAGGAGUCUAACAUGCUUGCGAGUGUUUGGGUGGCAAACCCAUACGCGUAAUGAAAGUGAAUGGAGGUGGGAUCCUUUACCGGAGCACCAUCGACCGAUCCGGAUUUUUAAUGAAGGGUUUGAGUAAGAGCACGUAUGUUGGGACCCGAAAAGAUGGUGAACUAUGCCUGAAUAGGGGUGAAGCCAGAGGAAACUCUGGUGGAGGCUCGUAGCGGUUCUGACGUGCAAAUCGAUUCGUCAAAUUUGGGUAUAGGGGGCGAAAGACUAAUCGAACCAUCUAGUAGCUGGUUCCUGCG